GGCCGCGGGAAUUCGAUUCAGGCCUAACACAUGCAAGUCGAACGGCAGCACGGGUGCUUGCACCUGGUGGCGAGUGGCGAACGGGUGAGUAAUACAUCGGAACGUACCUUAUCGUGGGGGAUAACGCAGCGAAAGCUGUGCUAAUACCGCAUACGCCCUGAGGGGGAAAGCGGGGGAUCGCAAGACCUCGCGCGAUUAGAGCGGCCGAUGCCUGAUUAGCUAGUUGGUGGGGUAAAAGCCCACCAAGGCGACGAUCAGUAGCUGGUCUGAGAGGACGAUCAGCCACACUGGGACUGAGACACGGCCCAGACUCCUACGGGAGGCAGCAGUGGGGAAUUUUGGACAAUGGGGGCAACCCUGGUCCAGCAAGGCCGCGUGAGUGAAGAAGGCCUUCGGGUGUAAAUUAAUAGGUCAGGGAAGAAACACCGGCUCUAACACAGUCCGGGAAUGA
rnacentral:rRNA from 1 species